UUCAUAUGAACCAAAUAAUGUAAUUUUUGCCAAGAACACAAGGGUGUAAAAUUAACAACAUGAAUUGCCAUAUCAAUCAAUAAAAUAAGCUAGGUAAAAAGAGUACAUCAUUCCCGUUGGUGUUUUAUUUCCAUCCAUGAGUCAUUGUCAUCAAAUAAUUUGUGCAUAUAUAGAGAAUAAAAGGAAACAGGACGUGUAAUAUGAAAUAGAAUAACUGAAUAUUUCUUUGCCAGCAUGGGUAGUGAGGAAAAAAAUUUCACACAUAUGCAACAACAAUAAAACCAUCAAGUUAGCCACCUGGCAAUUAAUUGUCCACACAUCUUAUUGUCACCCUUGUUAACUAAGCCUUUGAGCAUGCACAUGAUGAUUUGCUCAAGCUUUCUUGUGUUCCAUGCCCUAGCUGGAAUUUCUGCUAACAAAAGAAAAGGGAGAUCACCAUAUAAGCAAAAAAGAACAAAGCAAAAUGAUACAAAUAAGCAUGUCAGAGCAGCACCCAGCAUUCACGGUGACAUGGAAGUGCUCUCUGAACUACAACCCAGAAUAAACACAUGUAGUUUUCUCUAAAUGCUAAAAGAUGCAUGGUUUGAAAAUUUUCUAACCCAAACAAUAACUCAAAACCAACCCAUCUGGAUCUGGAACAACACAUUUAAAUCCUAAUUAAUCAGGGUAAUCAUUCUUAACAGUAAUCCACAACUACAACCACAAAAACAAAAAAACUACAGAUCAGCAUGUGUAUCAACUUUUUUGGCAAUAAUUUUGUUGAUCAACAAGGCCUGAAGAACGUGUAUUGUACUAUUCCUAAUUUUAUUCACACAUGAUAAGUUCAGGUCAUAAAAAUUCCCUAAUGUUCCUUACUGCUCCACAAUCAACAGGAUUGUACACAUGGACAAUUAACCAAUGUGUCAACCAAUCUGGGCCAGUACAACCAAGGCGAAGCUCCUGCUGCUCUCAAACUGCACGCUACUGCUAUAAGCUUUGAUGAUUUCAGGUCAAGGCAGUGCAGAUUAAAUAUAUAUAUCAUCACUAUAACAUUUUUCACUGCUGCUAACAUGCAGUGCAUUAGCUCAUCUGAAAAAAGUCAAACUACGAGUUACCAAUAUUUGCCCCUGCAAGCAUUACCACGGGCACCUAUCAGGCAAAAUCCCAUCGGAUGUGAACUCGAACACACAAUGGGAAAAUCACGCGACACCUACUACUCAUCCAGAAACAGUCGCACCCAAUCUACCACAGCAACCACUCGUCCGACACAAGAGUCAGGAAAACAGAAAUUAAACGGACAAAGGAUGCAACAAGGGAGGGCGUGGUGAAGGAAGGGGGAGGAGUAAGGAGCGGUGGGGCUACCUGCCUAUGGAGCCGUCGGUGGCGCUGCUCCGGGCGGCGGCAGGCAGGGAGGGAGGGAGGCGCUGCUGCCGGCAAGCCCCAGGGCCAGCAGGAAGUGCAGUCGCGUGUGGGGGCGAGGAAGGAGACGGAGAGGUGCCGUCGGAAUCCACCGGAGCCGCGCCGGCGACGAAGGCGAUGCCCAGCCCGAAACCCAAGCCACGACUGAGGGUUGCGAGCGAGCGUGAGAGAUCGUGCGCCGCGGGUCUGGCCGGAUGGAAGGAAGAGGCGGAGCACCUGCCAUGUGCACGCGAGGACGACGGCGGGGAUCCGGCAGGCUAGGUGAAGGAGACAAUGGCGGCGUGGGGAGCAGCUAGGGUUAGGGUUUGGGUGGAGGCGCCGCACACGAGGGGCAGGACGCACGAGUGCGGGAGGAGGCGGCGGCUAGGGCUUGCCACGGGCGGGCGGCGGUGAUGCGGGCGGGGCAGCGGCGAUGUGGGCGGAGCGGCGAGGACUGAGGGAGGGAGAGGGAGAGGAGAGGGCGGGGCGAUGCGGGAGGGACGGCGCGGACGAAGGAGGGGGCGCGAGUGCGGGCUGG
rnacentral:lncRNA from 1 species